AUUAGUGGCGAACGGGUGAGUAACACGUGAGGAACUUGCCCAUGAGCGGGGGACAACAUUCGGAAACGGAUGCUAAUACCCCAUAGGUGGAUUGGUCGCAUGACGAAUUCAUUAAAGGUGGCUUCGCUACCACUCAUGGAUAGCCUCGCGGCGUAUUAGCUAGUUGGUAAGGUAAUGGCUUACCAAGGCAGUGAUACGUAGCCGACUUGAGAGGGUGAUCGGCCACACUGGGACUGAGACACGGCCCAGACUCCUACGGGAGGCAGCAGUAGGGAAUCUUCCACAAUGGGUGCAAACCUGAUGGAGCAAUGCCGCGUGAGUGAAGAGGGUCUUCGGAUCGUAAAGCUCUGUUGUUAGAGAAGAACACGUGCUAGGUAACUACUAGCGCCUUGACGGUAUCUAACCAGAAAGUCACGGCUAACUACGUGCCAGCAGCCGCGGUAAUACGUAGGUGACAAGCGUUGUCCGGAUUUAUUGGGCGUAAAGGGAGCGCAGGCGGUCUGUUUAGUCUAAUGUGAAAGCCCACGGCUUAACCGUGGAACGGCAUUGGAAACUGACAGACUUGAAUGUAGAAGAGGAAAAUGGAAUUCCAAGUGUAGCGGUGGAAUGCGUAGAUAUUUGGAGGAACACCAGUGGCGAAGGCGAUUUUCUGGUCUAACAUUGACGCUGAGGCUCGAAAGCGUGGGGAGCGAACAGGAUUAGAUACCCUGGUAGUCCACGCCGUAGACGAUGAGUGCUAAGUGUUGGGGGCUUUCCGGCCCUCGGUGCUGGAGCUAACGUAUUAAGCACUCCGCCUGGGGAUUACGACCGCAAGGUUGAA
rnacentral:rRNA from 1 species